rnacentral:rRNA from 1 species
AUUGAACGCUGGCGGCAUGCCCUUACACAUGCAAGUCGAACGGUAACAGGUCUUCGGAUGCUGACGAGUGGCGAACGGGUGAGUAAUACAUCGGAACGUGCCCGAUCGUGGGGGAUAACGAAGCGAGAGCUUUGCUAAUACCGCAUACGAUCUACGGAUGAAAGCAGGGGACCGCAAGGCCUUGCGCGAACGGAGCGGCCGAUGGCAGAUUAGGUAGUUGGUGGGAUAAAAGCUUACCAAGCCGACGAUCUGUAGCUGGUCUGAGAGGACGACCAGCCACACUGGGACUGAGACACGGCCCAGACUCCUACGGGAGGCAGCAGUGGGGAAUUUUGGACAAUGGGCGAAAGCCUGAUCCAGCCAUGCCGCGUGCAGGAUGAAGGCCUUCGGGUUGUAAACUGCUUUUGUACGGAACGAAAAGACUCUGGUUAAUACCUGGGGUCCAUGACGGUACCGUAAGAAUAAGCGCCGGCUAACUACGUGCCAGCAGCCGCGGUAAUACGUAGGGUGCAAGCGUUAAUCGGAAUUACUGGGCGUAAAGCGUGCGCAGGCGGUUAUAUAAGACAGAUGUGAAAUCCCCGGGCUCAACCUGGGAACUGCAUUUGUGACUGUAUAGCUAGAGUACGGCAGAGGGGGAUGGAAUUCCGCGUGUAGCAGUGAAAUGCGUAGAUAUGCGGAGGAACACCGAUGGCGAAGGCAAUUCCCUGGGCCUGUACUGACGCUCAUGCACGAAAGCGUGGGGAGCAAACAGG